rnacentral:tRNA from 2 species
GUCCCUAUAGUUCAACUGGAUAGAACGCAGGCCUCCGAAGCCUGAAAUCGAGGUUCGAGUCCUCAUAGGGACA